rnacentral:siRNA from 1 species
AAGCCAACAUGUGUCCAUUGAUG